rnacentral:rRNA from 1 species
AACGUACGCUGGCGGCACGCCUAACACAUGCAAGUCGAACGAAGUAGCAAUACUUAGUGGCAGACGGGUGAGUAACAUGUAGGUAUCUGCCCUUUGGCCUGGAAUAACACGAGGAAACUUGUGCUAAUACCGGAUAAGUCUUUACGGAGAAAGCUUUAUGCACCAUUGGAUGAGCCUGCACUUGAUUAGUUUGUUGGUGGGGUAAUGGCCUACCAAGACUGUGAUCAAUAGCUGAUUUGAGAGGAUGAUCAGCCACAUUGGGACUGAGACACGGCCCAAACUCCUACGGGAGGCAGCAGUGGGGAAUCUUGCACAAUGGAGGAAACUCUGAUGCAGCGAUGCCGCGUGAGUGAAGAAGGCCCUUGGGUUGUAAAGCUCUUUCGUCGGGGAAGAAAAUGACUGUACCCGAAUAAGAAGGUCCGGCUAACUUCGUGCCAGCAGCCGCGGUAAUACGAAGGGACCUAGCGUAGUUCGGAAUUACUGGGCUUAAAGAGUUCGUAGGUGGUUGAAAAAGUUAGUGGUGAAAUCCCAGAGCUUAACUCUGGAACUGCCAUUAAAACUUUUCAGCUAGAGUAUGAUAGAGGAAAGCAGAAUUUCUAGUGUAGAGGUGAAAUUCGUAGAUAUUAGAAAGAAUACCAAUUGCGAAGGCAGCUUUCUGGAUCAUACUGACACUGA